CAAGAAGAGGAUUUGUUGUGGCUCCCUUUCCUCUUUUUGCCCAGCCACCUUCUCAGGUCAGUGAAGAGCAGAAGCCCGAGCAGCCCCUGCCCAGCCGCCACCCGUUCGCUGGGAGCGUCUAGAUGAGAGGCAGCGCUCUUCAGCGGAGCUUCCUUUGCUAGGCCAGGAAGCGAGGUCUCCUUCUCCUUGGCGUGGCGCUACAGGAUGAAGCCCAGACCUGGGCCCAGGAAUCUCAAGCACCAACAUCUGAGUAAGCUUUCAGCUCAGGAGAGGACCAGUGAUAAAAGAGCCACACUAAAAAUAAGUAAGUCACAAGGAAAGUGUGAAUUUUCUGCAAGCAAAUUUCUUCUUCAUAAAUGCAAAGUGCCAGGGUACAACACUUGCUUUCAGAGAUGGAUGGGAGACUGGCAUGCAGCCCCAAGGACUUCAGUGCACCCAGGAGUUACAUAUGGCAUGCAGUCAACAACAACUGAAAUCAGAAAGGCCCAUUUAAAAUACUAAAUGUGGGGGCAGAGAGAAAAGAGAGAAUACGUCAUAGCUUUCCCAGGCCCUAGACAAAAGGAGCCAGGACGCAAGCACAUCAAACACAAGUGCUAGGCUGUCGUGGUUUGCAGCGCACAGCAUGGAUGGCCACAGCGGAGGUGAGAAGGUUCUGCAUGGAGAUGGGAGCAUCAACCUCAGACUUUCAUUAGGUAUUUAUAUUUUUUAUUAUAUGCCUCAGAACACAUGAAGGAGCUUGCCACAGUUGAGGAGGAGUCCCUUCUGGCCGAGGAAAGAAAAC
rnacentral:lncRNA from 1 species